GUGCUCACUGCAGCAGCACAUACACUAAAAUUGGAAUGAUACAGAUUUAGCAUGGCCCCUGAACAAGGAUGACAUGCAAACUCGUGAAGCAUUCUAUAUUUUG